AUUCAUGAUCUUCUCUGAAUCAGUGCAACCCAUAUGGCAGAUGGGUCUUUGUCUAAUCAGCGAAAUAUAUAAGAAGGCUUGAUCUUUUUGGAGAGGAUAGCCAGAUCAAAUUUUUGCCAGCAGAAAAAUUGGAAGCGAUCAGAUUUCAGAUGGCACUGUCUGUUUUCACAUUUUCAAUGACAAAUAAUCCCCUUGUGGAUAAAAUCUUGAAAAUCUGAGCCACCUUGCAGAAUUCGAACUUCAGUUUUAGCAGAAGUUCCAUUUGGUUUGUUUCGACUACUUUCAUUUAUUUAUUACAUUCGUCCCCCUUGUGCUUGGCAUUGAUAUCGUACUCUGCACAGUUUAGCCAAACCAAAGUCAGAUAUCUUAGGGCAGAACUCUUCAUCCAGAAGAAUGUUAUGAGGCUUAAUAUCAAAAUGCAGUAUUCUUGUGAUACAACCACGAUGCAAGUAAUCAAGCCCUCGGGCAAUUCCAAUGGCAAUCUGAUAGAGCGUCUCCCAACUAAGAACUUGCUUUCUUCGAUUCUUUCUGGAGUAAAUGAACCUUUCAAGGGAUCCGUUUAGCAUAAAUUCAUACACGAGCUCUUUUGGCACCCUCAGAACAGAAUCGUAGAAGCCUCACGAUAUUUGCAUGGUGAGUGCGUCCAAUGCUGGCAACCACAUUGAUGAUUUCUUCACCAUUACCUUUGGAUUCACUUGACACCUUAACUGCAACUAAACGGCCAUCAACAACUUUCCCUUUGAACACUGCUCCAAAUCCUCCUUGUCCCAGUUUUUCCUUGAAGAAAUUGGUCAUUGUCUUAAUCUCUGAAUACUUCUUGUCUUUUGAGAGUGAAAGAUCCAUAGUCCUCAAGAAAAAUUUCCACUUCUCUAGCAUUUCUAUGUUUCUUUAUCCAGUAAGGACGGAUUGGACAAGAAUAAUCUACCUCUAUUAAGGAACAUAAGUGCUACAAGAACUAAUGCUCCUAUACUUAUUGAAACACCUGACAGCAUAGAAAGAGAGAGUAGAAAAAAAUUAGAUCAGAACAUUGUGUAUAUAUUUUAUUCUCUGGGAUUUGAUUUUUACCUAUCAGGAUUUUGGUCUUUGUGGACAUAUCUGUAGAUUGACAAACAUAGAUGUGUUUAGCACUUAUAUUGAAUAAAGGACGAGCAAAAAUCAAUCUGUGUCAUAGCUAGUGCAUUGACUUCUGUUUUGGUUUCUUUUUUAUUGAAAAGGAAGAUGAGAAGACUAAUGUCUAAUGGCAUAUUUUGUAUAGUUCCCUCUGUUUGCAUAUGCAGUAAGUACCAAGGUAACAGAGAGGUCAUACAAACCUGUUAAGCUAUUACAAUCUUGGGAUGGUUUUUCCCAGUAGGAUAAAAGCAUUUAAAAUUCCAAGCUGAAUUAACAUAAUAGCCACAAGCUCCACCAGAUCCUUCACAUUUCCUACAGUUUGAAUCAAGACUCCAGCUUACCUUGAAACCCUCCUGCAAGGUCUUUGUCGAACCAUUCCCAUUCUGUUUCUCUAAUGCCAUUUUGAGCAACGGAAUUGUUAGUUUUUCUCACACUUGUAGUAUCAGGUGAGAAAUUUUCUGAAACUGGCAAAUUCGACUUUAUACUGUUAUUUCUUUCUCCUUGACAUGUUAUUGGUAUUGUGGAACUGGAGAAUGAAGUGCUCUUGAAAUAAAGUGUGGUAAAGAAAGUUUCAUCUCCUUGACAGUCAUAAUCUCUAAACCAAGUGAGCUCAAAUCCCUUCUCCCAACCUCUCAUGCUCUUGUUUUCAGCUGGUGACUCCAGUGCAGAAACUGUUUACCAUCUCUUCACAAUUUUUAUUAGCUAGGUCCUGUAACUCUUCAGAUUCUUCAUAAGUAAGAGCAUAAGAACUUCUCUUUGCAGUGGUCAGACAGUCAAUGGGUUUUAUGGGAUCUAGAGAAAUGGUACAGUUGAAGAAGCAACUGAGGUGUAUAUUUUGUAUUGAAUCUCUAAAUCCCAUAGUAUACAUUGUCACAUUUGUGCGUGGUCUUGGGCAACUACUAUUGUUAUCAAUGUUAACAUCAACAAGAAUUAGGGAACGGUUGGAGUAAUGAACGUCCUUGACAUAAAGGGAGCCUUCAGAGUUUGUUAGGACAGGCCUGCUAUUCCUGCACGAGAGGCCAAAAUCAAGGUAACCGCAGAUUUGAUUGUUGGUAUUAUUAGGGAUGAUCCAAAAUGGAUAUUUGAUGGGAAGGCCAUUGCCACAGUGCUCUUAUGCAGAACAGUGCAUAUUGGGUAGUUUCUGAGAAUCGGAAAGAAGCGUGAAUAUGAUCAGCAGAGCUUGGGUGAGAACAAGAGAUGGCAAGAUUGAAGCAUUUUGGAGGAAAACAAAAUUAAUGGUCUGUGGAUGGUAUCUGAUUAAUAUGCAAUGCAAGAAUCUUUCUAAGCAGUUUCUUGGUGGACUUGGGAGGUCUCUCUUUUUGGCUGUUUCCUUGUGUUUUUGCGUACACUUAGUCAGAUUUCUGAUUUUUAAAAACAAACCAAUGGUCAGACAAGACUAGUCCAACUUUAAGUCGAGUUCCACACCAAAUUGCUGAAGCUACUGUAGAUUUCUUUCCCUCCAGACUCUGGUGUUUCAGAAAUGAAAAAAGAUAACCCAAUAAUGUUUGUGCUUGGAUCCGACACAAUGGACGAUAAUCUAUCUAGUUGUGAUAGUGUCGAACUCUAGCUUUGUAGUAUUACUGAGAUUGUAUUUAGCUAAUUGAUGCUCAAGCAAUUUAUACGAGUUGCCAA